GCAGAUAUUCUAAAGCACAAAAUUGUUGUCUUGUAAAUACAGAAAAACACUGUAUUGUCUCAUGUUAAGGAGGUUGAUGUGGGGUCACUGUAUGACAACAUUGAGGUGGACCAUGAAUCUGGAGAUCUAUGAUUGGGCUGCCACCCAAAUGAUCCACCUGGUUCUGAGGUUAUCAGGAUUGAGAACAUGCUAUCGGAAAAGCCCCAGGUGACUCAGGUAUAUGCAGAUGAUGGCAGUGUGAUCAUUGCUUCCUCAGUGGCAACCCCAUAUGUAGGAAAGCUGCUCAUUGGAACAGUAUAUCAGAAAGCUCUGAUAUGUGACCAUAAUUUGUGAAUAUACUCACUUACG